UACAGAGGUGGCAAGCGUUGUCCGGAAUUACUGGGCGUAAAGGGCGCGUAGGCGGCCUUCUAAGUCAGACGUGAAAUCCCCCGGCUUAACCUGGGAACUGCGUCUGAUACUGGAGGGCUUGAGUAUGGGAGAGGGAUGUAGAAUUCCAGGUGUAGCGGUGAAAUGCGUAGAUAUCUGGAGGAAUACCGGUGGCGAAGGCGGCAUCCUGGACCAUUACUGACGCUGAGGCGCGAAAGCUAGGGGAGCAAACGGG
rnacentral:rRNA from 1 species